rnacentral:rRNA from 1 species
AGGACGAACGCUGGCGGCGUGCUUAACACAUGCAAGUCGAGCGGAAAGGCCCUUCGGGGUACUCGAGCGGCGAACGGGUGAGUAACACGUGAGCAACCUGUCCUUAGCUUCGGGAUAGCUCCGGGAAACCGGAAUUAAUACCGGAUAUGACUAUGGCCGACAUCAGCCAUGGUGGAAAGUUUUUCGGCUAGGGAUGGACUCGCGGCCUAUCAGCUAGUUGGUGAGGUAACGGCUCACCAAGGCGACGACGGGUAGCCGGCCUGAGAGGGCGACCGGCCACACUGGGACUGAGACACGGCCCAGACUCCUACGGGAGGCAGCAGUGGGGAAUAUUGCGCAAUGGGCGAAAGCCUGACGCAGCGACGCCGCGUGGGGGAUGAAUGCCUUCGGGUUGUAACCCCUUUCAGCAGGGACGAAGCGAAAGUGACGGUACCUGCAGAGAAGCGCCGGCUAACUACGUGCCAGCAGCCGC